GUGGGGAAUUUUGCGCAAUGGGCGAAAGCCUGACGCAGCAACGCCGCGUGGAGGAUGAAGGUGCUCUGCAUCGUAAACUCCUGUCGCCUGGGACGAACGGGCAGGGGGGGAACACCCCCCGGCCUUGACUGUACCAGGAGAGGAAGCCCCGGCUAACUCCGUGCCAGCAGCCGCGGUAAUACGGAGGGGGCAAGCGUUACUCGGAAUUAUUGGGCGUAAAGGGCGCGUAGGCGGUCCCGCACGUCGGAGGUGAAAUCCCCGGGCUCAACCCGGGCACGGCCUCCGAUACGGCGGGACUGGAGUCCGGGAGAGGGGAGCGGAAUUCCCAGUGUAGCGGUGAAAUGCGUAGAUAUUGGGAGGAACACCAGUGGCGAAGGCGGCUCCCUGGACCGGUACUGACGCUGAGGCGCGAAAGCAUGGGGAGCAAACAGGAUUAGAUACCCGUGUAGUCC
rnacentral:rRNA from 1 species